AUACCACACUUGAAACCAGUGGGGCACCAGUCCACAAACUGGAUGGUGCGCUUCGUCUUGAUGGUGGCCACAGCGGCGUUGACAUCCUUGGGCACAACAUCACCACGGUACAUGAGGCAGCAGGCCAUGUACUUGCCGUGGCGGGGGUCACACUUGGCCAUCAUGGAGGAAGGCUCGAAGGCGCUGUUGGUGAUCUCGGCAACAGAGAGCUGCUCAUGGUAA
rnacentral:rRNA from 1 species